CCUACGGGGAGCAGCAGUGGGGAAUAUUGGACAAUGGGCGAAAGCCUGAUCCAGCCAUGCCGCGUGUGUGAAGAAGGCCUUCGGGUUGUAAAGCACUUUCAGUGGGGAAGAAAGCCUUGGGGCUAAUACCCUCGAGGAAGGACAUCACCCACAGAAGAAGCACCGGCUAACUCCGUGCCAGCAGCCGCGGUAAUACGGAGGGUGCGAGCGUUAAUCGGAAUUACUGGGCGUAAAGCGCGCGUAGGCGGUCUGAUAAGCCGGUUGUGAAAGCCCCGGGCUCAACCUGGGAGCGGCAUCCGGAAGGGCCGGGUAGAGUGGAAGGAGAGGAGGGGAAAUUCCCCGGGGGGGGGGGAAAAUGGGGAGAGCUCGGGAGGAAAAGCAGGGGCAAGGGGGGCCUUUGGAACGCACACAUCGCCGGGGUUGCAUACGCGGGGGUAGCAAACGGGAUUAAAAACCCCGUACGUC
rnacentral:rRNA from 1 species